GAUAGAGUAUGGUGUCAACCAGACAGAUACUAUGAUUUCUUAGUCUAGGACAGUUAUCUAUUGAACUUGAUGAGAACAAUGAAGAUCCAGUCACCUAUAUGAAUGUGAUGCAAAGGUCUGACUUAAAAAAAUGGAUUGAAGUAAUAAAAUCUGAAAUGGAGUCCAUGAUGGUCAAUAGUGUAUAGACACUUGUUGAUCCACCUAGAGGAUAAAACUCAUAGGGUGUAAGUGGGUCUUUAAAUGGAAAAAGAGCAUAGAUGGAAAGGUGG
rnacentral:lncRNA from 1 species